GCGGGCCGCGUCUCCGUGUCCUCGGCCAUGCCCGCUCGCCGCCGCACGCCCCGUCGGCUGCCCGACACCCGCGCGACCCCGCCCGCUGUCAGAGGCCGUCGCCCUUGCCCGCUGCCGGAGACCCCGGCCCACGGCCGCCGCCCCUCGUCCGUUGCGGGAUACUCGCGAGCGCGCCGCCCGCUCGCCUCGUCCACUGCGUCACAGGGCGACAUCCCUCGGCAGCGCCCCGCUCCCCGUGCUGCCCACCGCGAACCCCGGCCAGUGCGCCCUCCCUUGGCGGCGUCUACAUUUGGGCGAAGUCGAGCCAGCGGGCGUCGCCUGGCUCCCCUCCUCCGGGCGGCCAUGGAGGAGCCAUGCACUGCUAAUAUGUCGGAUGAUGAAGACGAUGGGUGAUCGUGAUGGUGACACCCAGAGCUAGAAGGCCACGAGGAGUUCAAUAUGAGAUGUGUGGGACUUGAUAAAGCUUGGAGAUUAUGUUAGUGCAAGGGACGAUGUCGAUCCCUCUAGGAUAGGGAUUGUUGGUUAAUCACUCGGAGGAAUGCAUGCAUGCUUUGCUGCUUUUGUGGAUACACGGUACAAUGUUGUUCUUCCAAUAAUUGGUGUUCAGGGAUUUCAAUGGGCAGUAGAUAAUGACAUGUGGCAAGCUAGAGUUGAUAGCACUAAGCAUUUAUUUGAA